GUGGGGAAUCUUGCGCAAUGGGCGAAAGCCUGACGCAGCCAUGCCGCGUGAAUGAUGAAGGUCUUAGGAUUGUAAAAUUCUUUCACCGGGGACGAUAAUGACGGUACCCGGAGAAGAAGCUCCGGCUAACUUCGUGCCAGCAGCCGCGGUAAUACGAAGGGGGCUAGCGUUGCUCGGAAUUACUGGGCGUAAAGGGCGCGUAGGCGGACAGCUUAGUCAGAGGUGAAAGCCCAGGGCUCAACCUUGGAAUUGCCUUUGAUACUGGCUGUCUUGAGUUUGGGAGAGGUGAGUGGAACUCCGAGUGUAGAGGUGAAAUUCGUAGAUAUUCGGAAGAACACCAGUGGCGAAGGCGACUCACUGGCCCAAUACUGACGCUGAGGUGCGAAAGCGUGGGGAGCAAACAGGAUUAGAAACCCUAGUAGUCC
rnacentral:rRNA from 1 species